ensembl:lncRNA
CCAGCGCUUGCCCCCCUCGUUCUCCCCCCUGGGUGCGUGUGUGCGUACCCCUCCCGGCGGCUGACCCCAACCCAGGGCUGACCCUUGGGAAGGAGGGGAUCUAGAGAGGGGACAGCCCCAUUUCGCACCCAGAGAUUGGCUAUAAGGAGAAGGCUGACGGCUGCAGCAUGAAGCGCAUUAUUACCUUGUGAUUCCAUGACCCUCCUCUAUGCAUCCCUAACUCUCGAAAGCUGAUUCAGCUUUCAGCUAGUGCUCUGAGCGUGAGGCCAAAUGCUUUGCUAAAGCUGGUAAAAUGGAACCAAAUCAACUGUUCAAUGGAUUUGGUCCCCUUCAACCAGCUGUAGCUGUGCAUUGAUCUCUCAGACGCACCUCGGAGGCUGACCCGGACAGCAGAAGAAAUGGGCACGUGAGAGGGGCCAAGGAGGGAUGCUGAUGGCUGGCGUCUGCAGAUCUGUCACCCGGGCUCUAAACUGGUGGGCUGAGCCCGAGCCAUUAUGUGGCUGCCAGUCAAUUCUGUGUAACGGAGACCACUCAAGAUUGAUAAUCUCUAUCGUCCUCCUGUAUUGAUCCCAGCUGUGAUUCAGGUCUGUGUAUUUCAAGUGCAAAUGCUGUACGUUUUACGUGUGAUUGCUCAGACACCUCCCCCCCAGGAGCCUCGUGCCUGUGUUUCAUCCGCUGCAAUGAAGAAUAAACGUUUUGAUCUGAAGUUCCCUCCUUGUGUUUUGUUCCAUGCGCUGAGCUGCUCACGAAAUGGGAAUUCUGGGGCUGGCAAGGCAGGGAAUGGGGUGGAAGCACCUGCUGCUUCCCAGCUGCCCCAAACUGGCCAGCAAUAUUGGGUGAUUUGAGAGAUAAUAGCUUUGUUCCAAAAAAAGUCUCCAUUUGAAUGUGUUGGGCUUAUGUUUCUAAAGACCUGUGAAGUGUCUGCUGGUCUAAUCCUCAUAAGCACAAAUAUUAUGCUAAUGGACUUAAAGAAAAUCACUGGUUUUCCCCAUGUCAUAAUGAUUGUUGGGAAAGGACGUUGGGCAUCAUCUCUUCCUAAGUACUGUAAAUCUAUAGGACUAUCACAAGCUAUUACUGCUGGUAUAAUGAGCCAUUUGGAUGCAUAAGUCUGAUAUGAGAUUGCUCACAUCUUUACUUUUUAAAGAUACCUGGCCCAGGAUAACCCCUGGCAUUAGAGGAGGCAGACAUUUCUCUCUUUUCUUAUGUAGGAAACUGGGUCGCCUGACUCCAGGUCCCCAGUCCCUCAGGUACCGGUUAAAUGUUCUUAAUAGUAUCAGGAGUAUUCACAUGCUUUAAGAGAUGGAGCUAUUUGCUAGAUUUGAGGUUUAACGUGCGUCUAAUUUUUAUGUCACUGAGUGUUUUAAAGACAAAGACAUGAGGAGCAGUGGAGCUGCAGGAGCAUCCCUCCUCAGCUAAAAGGAAACCCAUGCUUUCCUCUGUAGCUCAUUUUUCUCACCUUAAGUGUCAAAGCGUCUAUGCUGAAGUCCUACUGAAAUCCAAAUAGUGGUUUGGUUGUUGUUGUUUGUUUUUUUUCCAUGUAUUCCGUUAGAUCAGGCAAAUACCUGGUACUUUUUCCUGAGAACAAGUUGGGGUUGAGGAGCAUGUGCAGAGCUGAGGGCUCAGGUCUCCAGCUCUCCCCUUUGGGAAGCAGUAAUCGCUUCUCACACUGAAAAGAAUGCUUGGGUGUCAAAAGUUCCCUCAGAGUGAACAGCAUACACUGAGAAUACCUUCCAUGCUGAAAUCCCCUCUUGCUGCAGCCUGGGCAGUGAUGACAGAUAAGUUUCUAGGGAGCUUCUGGGAAGAUAAGUUGUUUGUUCUGUUAUUUUCUUCUUUUCCUGUGGUUCAUCAAUCUCUUAGUGUAAAUAUGUCGGGGAGGAGAAGCAGUUGUAUCAGCACUGAUCAGGUAUAUUUGCUGCAUUCGUUCUGAAAAAUGCAUAAGUGGGAAGCUGUGCAUGAACUGUUGGAGGAGGAUGUUCUCCUUCACACCACCCUGGAAAUAUAUAAAAGAAAUAAUAAUUAUUAUUUUUUUUUUUCCAAAAAUGCAACGUCUCUACAAACACCCACCAGUGCAUCCAGAAGGGCUUUAUCCUUGUCUAAUAGGAGAUGCCCAAGCCCUUACAACAUGAAGUUGCAAAUAUUUUAGCCUGUAAACAGAGGAAAGUGAGUAGCUCCAAUGAAUCCCUGCAGCAUCAUGGGGCAAAUUGACAUCCAUGCGCAGGAAGGAUGCUUGUAGCUUUACAGCCACAGCACGUGGCAAAAUAGCCAAUGGUCACCACCUCUGCAGCUGCAAGCUGCAGGCACGCAUUUUUGCACACUCCUUUCCCUGCCAAUUGUUUGCUUUGUAAUCAACAGUGCUGGUUUCUGGGCAUUAUCCAAUCCCACCCCCUAAUUUUGCAUCAAGUGAAAGCAUCAGUGAAGACAGGAAUGAGCGUGCAUGCAGAAUCGCUGUGCAAAUGCCACCCUAAAGCUCUUGCUGCCAAACCCAAGAUUCAUAAGCAAGGAAGGAUGGGGAUGAAAGCACUGGGGAAAGGAAUCUCCAGCACAAACAGGCAGUUUGGGCUGUGGGUGAUACUGGGACAGGUUGAGUAGAACCGGGUGCUUCCAGCAGGCUGUGGCUUGGCUUUCCAAAAUAGCAUGCUCCCCACUCCUGCAGUCUGGGUUAUUCUCCCUCACUCCCCAAGGCUGCAUUCGGUGUAAACAGCACCUUUAUUAAAAUUCUUCCUUCGGAAUGUUAAUUAAAUUACUAAAAAAUGACAAAUGGGGAAGCUGAAGACAUCACAACUGGAACAAAACCACGGAAUGUAACUGAAAAGGUUUUCUCCUGGUGAAGCAUGGGUGGACAAGGGCUCACCUGCUGCAGCAGCUCAGGGUGAUUUCUUUUAAUGGGGCUCCCAGGCUUUGGCUGUUGGCAUCUACACAGAUCCCAGGCACAUGUUCCUCUGCAGGAAAUACUGAAAGCAUUUGUUGUCCCAGAAAUCCUCCCAGAAGAGUUCUGGAUAUAUAUGGGAACAGCGGUAUGCAUCCAUACAACAUGUUAUAUGGGAGUACAUGGCAUUUUAUCAUCUGAUGCAGUUGUUGUGCAAUGAUGUCACACUACUUUGAUCACUCUAUAAACCCGUGUGCCAAAACAUCACCUUGGUCUGUGUUUUGGUACCCCACAGCCAUCUGAGCACUGAAUAGUAGGAAGCUUCCAUUUCACUUGAAGCAAGAAGAUGGAUGUGGGGAUUUUAAAGUUGGGCCAUGUAUUUAGGAGCUUAAACAUGGAUCUCACCUUCAGACAUCUACGUUUGGAAAUUUCUGCAGGUAUAUUUAUUGGUUAAUUAUAUCUUUAUGAAUGGGAACUUCAAUUCACUUAAUAAGGAAUUUGUAGAACGAUACAGGCUACUAUGAACCAAUGCAAGAAAUGUGGGGGCCAAGCCAAAGGCAGCUGUUAGACUUUGGGGGAACUUUCCAAGGACUGCUAAUAUACAGGGACAAACCUAAGACCAGGGCCAAAAAAUAAUUGCUAAUAUUCCUCCCAACAGUUUGUCUGUCAAACCUGUUCACCCUCAAAUCCCUUCUGAUGCUCUGCAUAGGAGCAAAUGGAGCUUCCAUUUCAACCAGGACAUGGACCUACCCAGGGUGUGAAAACUGGAUCCUCUCCAGUUGGCUUCUCAUAAAGCACAGCUCUGAGUGGAAGUUCUACCACUGACUUUGAAUGCCCCAGCAUCAGGCCCUGGCUCAGGGACUGCCAUCCUUUAGCCAACCACCCUGUAACUCCAUCAGGCCUAAUUGUCCUUCAUAGCCACUAACAGGCUGAUCUGAUGGCCCUCCAGACCCUGCUGGUUUCCUAGAAACCCUAUUAGCUUCUCAAACAAAGCAAUGCUGAGGACUCUGUCUUGCAAACCUUUUGUGCAAAUAUUAAAUAGCAGUGGAUAAUUAGCAGGAAUAAUCUUUUUUUCUUGACCUCUUCUGUAAUAAAGACCUUUGUCAGCAAAUGCAAACGUUAUUUUGAGCAGUAAUUCAUAAUCUAAAUCUGCUAAACACACCAGACUAAAUACACCUGCACUCUCAUAUCCAUAGUGUUUGUACAGGACUUUUAAAAGGGAUACAGACACAUUAUCUGUCCCAAAGACCUGAACACAUUCAUCUGUCAAGUGAGGCAGAGGAGGUGGCAAAAGAGGUGGUACAGAAGGGAAGAAGGAAAAUAAAACAGUAAAAAAAAAGUGCACAAAUAAAUUUACCCACUAAUUUAGAUUACACCUCUUGGGGCUCUACUCAUGCUUUGUGGGUAUUCUCCAAAUGAACUGCACGGUCCCAUUAACACCAAGAUGGCUAGCAAAAAAUCAGGUUGGCUCUCUUCCCUAAAGACAUCAUCCUCAUCCUUUCUUACCAGGAGAGAAAAAUCAAAUGGUUCCUUCAGCUUGUUGAGCAGGACACAAGCUUUGGACUCUUCCAGCCUGUUUUGGUUUCUCCCUCAAGACAAGCAGAGGGGUCUAAUGACUCUUGCCUCUUCCUCCCUAAUCUUCUAUUUAGCAAUAUCCUCUCUGGAAAUCCCCGAAAGAAAGGAGCUAGAAAUUGUCCCUCUCCUUUAGCAUUAGACCCACUUUUACCUUUGGUGGUCCACCAAUGCAUCUCUGGGCGCAGCAAUCAGAUUAUGUGGAUUUUGCCCACGGCAUUUUACUCUGCAGGUCCUUUUCCUUUGUAUGGUUUUUUUUUUCUUCUUCUUUUUUCUUUUUUUUUCUUUUUUCUGAGAGGAGAAAAAAAGAAAAGACAAGCAAACCAACAGGCAGAUAAUUGUUCUGUGCUGACAGUUUGUCAAGUGAAGGAAGUGCAAUUUUAGUCGAGAGAUCUACAUUACAGCGUUACUUGAGCAGAAGUCUCUUCUUUUACUCCCAGAUGGCAUUGACAUAUAGCCUGGAGGGGCUAUCAGGGUACAAAGCUAAAGAUGGUUAAAGACAUUAAAAACUGUACAAUAUGAGCACCGUCUACACUGGGACCAUCACCUAGGAUGAAGAUUCACCCUGACGUAUUGGGCAGAAAGCAAACUGAGCUGAAGGUAUUUUCAAGAUACAUGAAAAAAAUAUAUAUAUUCCUGCUCCUAACCGUGUCUUUUCUAGUGGGUCUUUAUUGACUCUUUAAAAACUAUGACCAAUAAAUGUAAUGAUCUGCCUUCCUCUUUCUUCCUGGGUGAAUGAUGGCUCCUGCAGGGUGUUUAUCACUGAGUGUAAUGGCUGGUUGAUCAGUUCGUGUCCAACUCCACUUCCCAGCAAGCUAUUGAACGCCUCCUCCUUGUCACGGGGCCGCCAGCAUUUCCCCCAUCCUGCCAGAGCUUCUGUUAAGCCGUAUAAUAAAUAUUGCACUCAGAACAAGAUUGUAAAUCUUGCCAUAGGACAGAGGGUAUUUGCUUUUCUGCCUUUCUUGAGUUUCGUGUUGCCUAAGUUGCUGUAAUGUACUUAAGCAGAGAACAGACUUAAUGCUCUUGCUUUCUUUUUAAUAAGAUGCAUAGCUCAUUUAUCCAGUAGGUGCAGCUGGAGGGGAAGAGAACUGCAAAGAGGGGACUUCACCUGCUGGAAAAUAUUCUCUACUUCCCCCAAAAGUGAUGAAAAUGUCAAUACUAUUGACACAAUCACUAAUUAAAAACGACUGCCAUAAUCAUGCAUAUGACAGCCGUAGGACAUCAGUUUGGAUUAAAUGUGAGCAGCAAGUUGUGCUGCACAUGGUUUCCAAAAGCAGAAAGGGCUGGGUGAUGUUAUCUGCUGUUGGAUGUACAUCCAAGAGAGAGAAGGAUGCUCUUAAACAUAGUUGCUCUUCUUUGCACAGCCCUGGUGCUUGCAUGGCCUGAAUUCUUCGCAGCAAUGAGAAAAAAGUGCGUCUGUUUUUACUUCCUUGUCCAUGUUUACUUAUUUGACUGAGGUUUAAGCAGUGCCCUCUGCUCUGUACAUAGUGUGGGCACCCAAUGUGCAGGCAGCCAUCCCAGCAGCUCAGUGCUCGUGCAUUGCUCCCAUUGAGUUGUAGUGACACCUCAGGCUGGGUGUGCAUAGCCUUUCCUCUUUCUCUCAAGGAGUAAAAUCCUUUUAUUUAGGGGUUUUAGCAUGCAGACUUACAACAAAAAAUAUCUUGUCAAUGCCCCACUUGGAUUAUUUCCUUACGCAUCGGUCUAACCGGGUGAGAAAGAAUUCCCAUUUAAAUGCCUACGGUUCUUGCAUUAUGCCUGUGAUAUGAAUGCAUGCCCAGGCAUCUCAUCUACUCCAGGUCAUUGUCUUUAAUUGGACAAGACCAAAAAUAAACACUGCGACCUUCCACAUAGUCCCAGGGGCUCCAGGGUGGGAUGGAGCCUGUUGGUUCUUAUCUAAGCAGAAAUGUGAAUCACUAGGAAAGUGUAUGUGCCUUUUCAUGGUGUGGAGCAUGGACCAAUGAGCCCUAAACCUCAGGAAGGACAGAAAGAGGGCCAACCCUCUGAGUAGGGAGAGUUGUUAGUCUCAGACAGAAGGAGGACAGCAUUCAACAAUUGACACUUCCCAAAUCUAAUCAGCCUGACCCCAAAACUACCAUUGGAAAGGCUUACGAUAUGUGCCCGUCUCCAUUGUAUAGCAGAGGGAGGAGUGUAAAGCUGUCAAUAAAAACUUGAAAAAAAGAAAGAUUUUAAGAAACCAAGGAACAGAAAGAAUGUGUUAACUAAGAGUUGGGCAGAGUGCUUCCAUCCUAGUGGUGGUGGAAGAGCCAAAGGUUUCCCAGUGAUGCACUUUUUUCAUUUGAAACCCUUGGUUGUUCCACCCAGCGUGCAGUUUGACAUUGGGAGUUUUUUAUGUGGCAUGUUAGGAGGUCCUCAAGCAUGAACUAAUUGAUUCAUGAGUGGAUGAAUCCGAUGCAUCUUUUAAAUGGAAAACCGACAUCAUUCUCCAUCAGAGAUCCGCUAAUAAAGCACAUUUACUUGGUUAAUCCAUUUUUUUUUUUCUGUGCUAAGUGCACUGUAUAAGGUAUAAAAAUAUCAAAUCAAUAGGCAAAGAGUAUAUAAAAACAAGUGAGCAGUGUGAGCCACCCUUGGGUGGGCUCCUUGCAGGACCUGAGUUGGAUCCCACUCCCAACACUGCACAGAGCAGCGGGGCUGCAGUGCACAGCUGUCCCUAUGAGCCCCAGGGGACAGCGGGUGCAGAGCCACCUGCUUUGGGGCCUCGUGGCACCACACUGCUCCCUAUUUUAAGCAGUAACUGGGUUAAAGGUGUCGGGUUAAUCUCCUUCUCUCAUUUGCUAGGAUUAUGAUAUUUAUUAUAGCAGAAGGAGCAGAGAAGCAGGAAUGCGUAUGGAAGACAGAGGCAUCUUCCAGCUCAGCCUGCACAAAUUCCCAUUUUUUUUUAAUUUUUCCAGGGGAAUACAGCAGUAUUAUUUCAGAGCAAAUGCCUGCACAGCCCCGUCUCUGCAAACACCACUCGAUCAGUGCAACUCUCUGGUGUGAGCUCAUUUAACAAGCGGUUGCCUUGCAGGCUGUGGAGAAUUGCCUCUUACCUAAUAAUUCUGCUAAUUUGCUUAACUUUCCCAGAUUGCAAAUGGCCCUGCCCUGAACAAGCAGCUUUCUAAAUGAACCCCCAGACAAUUUCUUGACAAGAAGGGAUCGGAGAGGUGCCUGCUCGGGGAGCUGAAGCUCUCAGCCUUUUUAUUUCUGACCUUUGGGCUAGCAUUCAGAUUUGCUUGUUGGGAAAACUGCAUUCCAAGUGUAUUUUCUUCAGGGAUUUACAAUACCCUUCUGCUUGUAAUUAUUCUCACCUGAUGUCUUCCAUAAAUUAGUUAAAGAUGCUUCUAUUAGUGAGCUCCCGUCCUGUUAAUUAUCGUGCUGCAGUUCCUUGCUGGUGGCCGCUCUGCAGCACCGGGGCUGCAUCCGUGCAAAGCUCCCGGCCGAGAGAUCAGGGAUGUAGUGUGUGGGUAAUACAAACGUCUGAGCAAUCUGGGAAAGAAAUGAAAACUGCUGUAAAGGUAAAUGUCAGACUAUUUAAAGACAAUGUUGACUAUUGAUUUUUCGGACGAGACUACCUCUUCAAAGGAUGGCAAGCGUUCCUUCGGAUCCAGACGAGGUGCAAUCUGUCAUCCUGCAAGCUUCCUCGCAUGAAAAGUUUCGGGAUUGGGUAUUGAAAGGGCAUCAGCAAGAGCUGCAAAUAGCCUUAAGGUGAUCCAGGAGCAACUCCGCUCCCAGCAGCGGCUGCUUGGGUGAUGCUGGGCAGGAUCUGAGGUGGGGACACGGCAGGACAGAUCCUCCCUGCUCCCUGCCUUCCCCUCUAUGGUGUUUUUUGGGUGCUUGAGUUUUAAGAUCGCAAGAGAACUUCUUUGGCACUCAACCCAACUUGCAGAAAGCCCUGAGUCCGUGCAGGUCCUAAGGACUGCUGCCUGGGGUAACUUCUGGUUUCCACGCCUUAUUUCAACGUGGAGGUCUUCAGACAGCGUUAAAUGACAGAUGAUAGAAUUUCUGCAAGUGAUGUUCAUCUGAAUUUUAUUUUCUGAUGUUUUGACUCAUUGACUUGAUGUCUCUCUAUUAUGCACACACCUCUGGAGAUGUUACUGGCUAUGAUUAUGCGUGGCAUCGAGUUAGUGAAUAAAACCACUGCAGGAACUGCUUUACAGAUCACAGUAUCAUUUUCUCUAUAAUUGUCCCACAAACGGUGGAAGUUAUAUGGAGAGAGCAGCGUUCCCUGACAGACUGCAUAUUUUUGCAGCGUGCAUCAGAUCUCACUUUGGCUUCUGAGACUUAUUUCUGAUGGUUCUUGGGGAUUUAACUUUAAGACCAACGUUUUUUAGUAUCCAUAUACACUCCACUCUUCAUGUCAUCCAGCAGCACCAGAGGAUGAGCUGUCUCCUUAAUAUGGAUGAGAUACCAAUUUAUCUAAGUUAUCACCUCACUAUCUCUCAUUCAUCUCUGCUGUUAACUGCUGUGUUUCUGACAUCCAUACCUAAACAAUCAGCAACUUCUUCUCCUUUAAUUGAAACCAUAAGUAAUUUUUGGCUGGAAGUUCUUGUUGUGUGUGUAUAACGGCUUCUUCAUCUCCCAGCUGGAAUUCAGUGAUCCUGUGACUGAAUCAGGCUCUGGACACCUCAUUUUAAACCCACAACAUCACACAGACCCACUCAGCACAGUAAAUCAAAAGUCAGGGCAUCUUGCCACCAUCUGAAGAUAUAUGACCAAAUUAACAUGUCCCAAGCUCACUGCGAACAACACUUGCGGAUGGCCCAGGCGUUUGGCUGCAAAGUCAGCAAAGCUUUCCCCCUUCCUGAUACAUUCCCAGAACUGUGAAACUUAGCCCUACUCUUGGUAUUCUCUUUAUAGAGGGCCCCGGCUGUAUUAUGUAUCAAAUAAAGGUCUCAUUACUUAGUUCCUGGCUCCUUCGUGCCAUUGCUCUCAUUAAUCAUCCUGUUCUUCCAGCCCAUGCUGCAAGCCAUUGGGACUGCCUCAGUGUCCACCCCUGAAUUAAAGGCUUCAUUCCCAGACCCUCCAAGCUGGUGGUCUCCAUCCUUUCGUGACCCACUGGCAUACAGCCCCACAUUGCUGGGGGCACUUGGCCAUGAUGUCUGGAGUGCCAGUGCAAAGAAGUGGUCUUCCAAGUCUCAUCUAGGGGUCACCAGGGUGUUGCAAAGAGCACUGUGUUGUGCCUGCACUGAGAGACUCAACAAGGACACAAAAUGGAGAACAGAUUUGGUCGUGCCCCAAAUCUGUUAAUUUCACCCCCAAUCUCCUUCCAAAAAUCGUUGCCAAUUAUUGAGUACAGCAAAUGUACACCACCCACUUCUGUCCUGCUUGGUUUCACCCCCUGCACAGGGAGCACCCAAAUGAGCCCCACACUCUGUACUCCCCCCAGCAGAGCAGCACAGCUGCUUUCCUCUCUUCCUUGUGGUUCUCAGCAUAGAUCCCACGGGGUUUGCCACUUUCUGUGGGUAAUAUUUUUUUGCAGAAGCACAAACGACUCGCUCAGAGCCUUGGAAUCUAGCUCCCUUUGUGCUGAGGAUGAAAUGCAAAGAGGCAGAAAUGCAGUGGAGAGCAAACUUCUCUCAGCUGCAUGAUUUUACCAAAUCUGAUGGUUUAUUCAUUUUAAUUACCCUUGGAAUUCGUAUUUGUGUAUACAUAUACAUGAAUUCAUGUAAUAACAUGUAAUUAGUUUAGAGUUUGACAUUUCAGAACAGGUAAUUAAAAGAGUUUGUUGUUGAUUAAUCGCUUGCAAAAUAAAUUAUUAGCAGUAUCACCGUUAACGUUAUGUUUAUUACUACAAUUUGGAGAAAUUAAGGCAGUUCACUUACAUUAAAUUAAACACGAAGGCACAGAUGUAAUGUACCCUAGACAAUAUCUAUUUACCCAGAGAACGAAUGUGAUGUGUGCGUUACAAUACAUUUGCUAGGUCAUACAUCUCGGAUGGCCUCUGCGUGUCACCACCAGAAACUUAACACCGACGCACGGACACUUCCCAUUUCUUUCCAUACAUAGAAAAUUCGGGUAUGCCGGACCUCAACCCCUGCUCUGCACUGCAGCUCUGCGGGAUCUGCGGAUGCUGCAGGGUGCUCAGAGCUGCCUGGGGAGGAGGGAGCAGGCUGAGCAUAGGAGCUAGCAGGGGCAUGAGGGGCCAUGCCAAAUGCAAGCCCACAAAGCCUGCAUGUGGCAAAGAAAAUCAAUUUUUUACAUCCUCAGCAGACCCCCAGGCCAUUGUCAUGAACCAGAUUAUAGCCAAAGUGUGCAGAAACGGAAUAAAUCUCAGCACGACUCAAUGAGGUGCUAAAGGCUUAAGCAGAUUGGUUAAGUAUAAGUUGAAUUUGAUCUUUAAGCAACUGUGCACGGUCUCUACUGGGAUGCCGAGAGGUUUUGUCCUGUGAGGAGAUAAGGAGCCCUUGCUUUUGACAACUGUUUUGUCUGGAGGCCCUUCUGAUCCGAGUCUGAGAGAGCAAAGGCAAAAGUCAGUGGAGAUGAAAAGGAUGCUCUCUGGAUCUGUCCCUCUGUGGUUUUAUAGCUAUGGGAAAUAAUCUAUAAUUAGGUGUAUAAAACAGCUCUCUGAUCUCUUUGCUUCUGGCCCAAAAGAGCACAGAAUUGAUAACUCAAUUAUCUCUGCUGGAAAUACAAAUAAAUUACAAGCACGUGGUGGGAGGAACUCCAAUAAAGGGGCACCCGCACAGCACAACGGGCGCUGCUCUGCAGCUGUGGGACCUCAACGCUGCUGCUGGGGUGAGGCUGGAAGGCAGUGGGUGCUCUUUGCUGGGGACUCCUUGAGGCUGAAUAUCUCUCUGGAUGGUGGCAGCCACUGGCAAAAGCACUGGGGCAAAGAUGGAACCCUCCCAAAUGGACCCAGGAGAAAAGCCAGGGCAAAAGCUCACUGGAAGAGGAGACACUGUCCUGGAAGAGCGUGGCUUCUCAGAAAGGUGAUGAGCUCAGCUUGGGAAUGGGGUGAGAAAAGCAGGGCUGGGUUUAAACAGCUUUCCACAAAUGAGAAUAAUGAGUGAUUAUCCUUUUCCUGGCAAAUUCCUGGGAGUUUCCAUUUGGAAUUUACAACCGGAGCAGUGUAGGAUCUCAGGGGUCUCCUUCAUGUUCUGCCAAGCCAGCAGAGCCACCAUCCAGCAUCUACACCAACACCAACCCCUCUCCCCGCUGAGGCUCGUUUCUAAUGACUCCUGGGCUGAAUUAACAGUCUGUGCUUGUGUGACAAUGACAAUCAGCGCUAAUGACCACUCUGUUUGUCUAAUCCACAUGCUGAGCACUGAUUUCGGUCCCUGCCUCAGACUCCCUUUGCAAAAGAGUCUUUUUAAGCAAUUUAAAAUGUGCAGGAUGCACUGGGCUGUCCAUCCCUGCUCCUUUGAUAUUCUGCCGCCUGGAAGUGUCCUUGAGCCAACAGGCAGCACCUGUAGCGAGGUGUGCCCUAGGAUGAUGCAAAGAGCAAGAUGAGAAAAGCCUUUGCAUUUCAUAUCCUGUUCGGUCGACCUAUUCAGUAAUCAGGAAAAUUAUAUUUAAACAAUUUGCCCUUUGAUGCAAUCCAAGCGGCUCUGAAGGGCAAGUGCACUAUCACAGAAAGCUCCGUUUUUAUUCUGCAGCACACUUCGUGACCCCACGGGGAGUGUGUGGCAGUGCAGAUCCGUGGUUUAUUUAGAAAAGGAAAACAAAAGCACUCAACUGCCCCCGAAACCUUUGUGCCCCUUCCAAAAUGUCCCCCAAUUCACGAGGAGCGGGAAAACCAACCCAACUAUUUCCUCCUAUUCGCUCUGCCCAUUGGCAUGCAUUGCUUCACUGCUGGGGAGAAACAAGGUAGCACAAUAAUAUUCACUUUAUGGACUUGACUUUUUUAUUUAGGCAGCAGCAUCUCCCAUAAAGAAGCCUGGUGCACGUCAUCCUUCCUCCCUGCCCAUGGCAUGGGGCAGACGGUAGAGCAAUUCCAGCUGAAAGCUUUUAGCUCCUGUAACCGAUGAUUUAUAUUUGUGCUGUAAUAGCCAGAUACAGCAAUAAUAGUAAGGAUUUAAUUGUUUUAAUGAAAGUAGCUUUUUUUUUUUUCCUGCAUUCGAAUCAAUUUGCUAAGUUUGGAUGAUGGAACGUAAGAAUGGAUUUAGCUGCGCUUUCCGCACGCUCUGAACAAAAAGGCACAAGGCAUUUCAAAAGAACCAGCCUGACAUAUUAAAACUCUUAAUAAGUAAUAUCUGCAUAACUAAAGGCAAUAGGAGCAGUCCAACCUGAAGAAAAAAGGGCUUUACAGGAAUUAGCGUCUCAUUGUCACAUUUGUAAAAGGGACACAUGCAUUUUUCAGAUCUUUGCACAUUAAUGGCUGUAUUUGAUUCAAAAUACAGUCAGUGAACCCUCAGUAAAUGGAAUUAAAUGGUAUGUGUCUGAUUUGAGGGUGACAAUCCGCCAAUUGUUUCUUGUUUGAAUUACUACCUGCGUGGCUGGGCACAGCAGUAAUUGAAACUAUAAUGUUUCAUUCCUCUUUAGCUAUAAUUUAUCUGCAAAGUUCACUCUCUGCUGUUCUGUUCCCCUUCCUGAAAUCUCUCCUUUAACCGUUAUGGUGCUGUUGGGGACUGUAUCCCUCCUGCACACCCCAUGGAG